rnacentral:rRNA from 1 species
AUGAACGCUGGCGGCGUGCCUAAUACAUGCAAGUCGAGCGAACAGAUGAGGAGCUUGCUCCUCUGACGUUAGCGGCGGACGGGUGAGUAACACGUGGAUAACCUACCUAUAAGACUGGGAUAACUUCGGGAAACCGGAGCUAAUACCGGAUAAUAUAUUGAACCGCAUGGUUCAAUAGUGAAAGACAGUUUUGCUGUCACUUAUAGAUGGAUCCGCGCCGCAUUAGCUAGUUGGUAAGGUAACGGCUUACCAAGGCAACGAUGCGUAGCCGACCUGAGAGGGUGAUCGGCCACACUGGAACUGAGACACGGUCCAGACUCCUACGGGAGGCAGCAGUAGGGAAUCUUCCGCAAUGGGCGAAAGCUUGACGGAGCAACGCCGCGUGAGUGAUGAAGGUCUUCGGAUCGUAAAACUCUGUUAUUAGGGAAGAACAAAUGUGUAAGUAACUAUGCACGUCUUGACGGUACCUAAUCAGAAAGCCACGGCUAACUACGUG